ensembl:lncRNA
CGCCGAACAUGGGUAAGGAGCAGCGAGGAACACACCCUGAAGCUCAUUAGGGCUGGAGAAAGAAGGGAAAGGCUCUCUCCCUGUUACACGCUGCCAUUGAAUCCAACCUCCAUAAUUACAGGUCUGGCUUUAAUAUGCCAUACAUCCGAGGAAAAGCCUCUUGCAACAAAGCCCAGUAAAGCCUGUGCCACUGGCAUCAGCUGCACAAUGGCAGGGAUAACAGAGCGGCCACGCCUGGAGAUUCUUCACAGAAGAAAGGAGAAAGGGAACGUUCACAACCAGCCAUGGCUUUAUCAGAGUGGAAGAAGAAAGAGCUGAGGAUUAUAGGAAUUUCGGUCCCGUGUCUCUCCCACUCCAAAACUAGGCUGUGUUUUCUCUGACAUUGGUGAAAUAAGAAAUACUGCAGGGAAAACUCUGACCACCCAACUGCCAAACGCGUUCAAAAGUCAGCCAUUACCAUUUCUCUGCCAAAGCGUUCAAAGCAGGAGGUAUCUGAGACCUGCCAGCGUGAUAAAGGGAUUCCCAAACCCAAAUAAACCCGCCUAGAACUAACCGUGCUGCCCACAGCAAAGCAGCCACAGCCAGCUAUCCUUCCCUUGCACCAGCACUUGUGGGGAACAGUUCAGACGGCUGAUCCACGUUAGAUGCAAAUUCCACCCAAAAAUAAAAAAAAGAAGAAGAAACACCAAGAAAAGAUGAGUUCUCCUGACCCAUCACACCACAGCCAAGCAGCUCCUGGGUAGGCAGCUGCUACCACCAGGUAACUCCACUCUCAUUAUUUUUAAUUAGCUUGAGUUUCAGCUCUGACAGUGAAAUUGUAACCUUACCCCUGUCACACGAUAACAAGUCUUCUGGCUCUCCCCACUGCUUCAGCCUACAUUAAAGCCAGGGCAGGUUAAUGAGAUGUGACUCAGGGAGCAUGGGACUCCUCCCUGAGCACUGGAGGUGAGAGCAGGACACGAGGUGAGAUAGGGAGGAGAAUGAGAGGCUGUUGUCAUUGGUGGGCCUAUUCAUAGAAUCAUACAAUCAUUAAGGUUGGAAAAGACCUCUAAGAUCAUCCAGUCCAACCAUCCACCUACCUCCAGAAUUGCUCACCAAACCACGUCCCUAAGUACUACACCAACCCUUUCCUUAAACACCCCCAGGGAUGGUGACUCCACCACUUCCUUGGGCAACCUGUUCCAAUGCCUAACAUCAUUUCUGAGAAGAAAUUCUUCUUAAUAUCCAAUCUGAACCUUCCAAGAGGUUAUUCCCAGACCUUACUUUUGCUGGCUCAUUAAACCCGGAGCUACAACAGAAGGGCUGGCUCUGUGGAGAGCUGCCUGCCCCCGUCACACAACACCUGGAUUCUAACCAAGUUCUCUGGGAAGCAAUGGAUCCUAAGGGCACCUUUGGUCAGUGGUUGACACAGAAGGUCCCCAGUUCCACAACAUAAGUAACAUAUUUUAUCAGCUUCUGCCAUGAGAUUACUAUGUAAAACGAUUUUUUUUCUUAAUAUUAGGGUACGGGCAAUAAAUAUAUAUAUAUUGCUAAAUAUAUCCAGGAUAAUAAUUCUUUUACAGUUACUGAAGUGAAUACACCACACAUACAUACCUUAUACACUACAACACCAAAGUGGAUACCAAGCAUAAAUACACAUACGGACUCUGUUGGUACCACUCCCGAUUUAAGCAGCAAAAAUGAAAGAGCCCAACAAGUAGAAGACAACUGAUCAGCUAUCAGCCCUGCAGAACACCGGCAGUUCUGGCAGGCCGUCUGAAAUCUCACAGCUUGGAAUAAAGCCUUGGUAACAAAAUGACUUUUCUUCUACUGGCAACUACUUGUAAAGUCUCGGAGCACCGGGCUGGACAGCAGUGAAUGUAAAUGUUUUAAACUCUGGGUCAUGACCGCCGUGUGAUAAUGCCAAUUUGGGAACAUUUAUG